rnacentral:rRNA from 1 species
GAUGAACGCUGGCGGCGUGCCUAAUACAUGCAAGUCGAGCGAACAGACGAGGAGCUUGCUCCUCUGACGUUAGCGGCGGACGGGUGAGUAACACGUGGAUAACCUACUUAUAAGACUGGGAGAACUACGGGAAACCGGAGCUAAUACCGGAUAAUAUAUUGAACCGCAUGGUUCAAUAGUGAAAGACGGUUUUGCUGUCACUUAUAGAUGGAUCCGCGCCGCAUUAGCUAGUUGGUAAGGUAACGGCUUACCAAGGCAACGAUGCGUAGCCGACCUGAGAGGGUGAUCGGCCACACUGGAACUGAGACACGGUCCAGACUCCUACGGGAGGCAGCAGUAGGGAAUCUUCCGCAAUGGGCGAAAGCCUGACGCAGCCACGCCGCGUGAGUGAUGAAGGUCUUCGGAUCGUAAAGCUCUGUUAUUAGGGAAGAACAAAUGUGUAAGUAACUAUGCACGUCUUGACGGUACCUAAUCAGAAAGCCACGGCUAACUACGUG